rnacentral:rRNA from 1 species
AAUCAACGCUGGCGGCGUGCCUCAGACAUGCAAGUCGAACGAUUAAAGCUCUCUUCGGAGAGUGCAUAGAGUGGCGCACGGGUGAGUAACACGUAAGUAAUCUACCCUCGAGUGGGGAAUAACGUCCGGAAACGGACGCUAAUACCGCAUAAUGCAGCGGCACCGCAAGGUGACAGUUGUUAAAGAUUUAUCGCUUGAGGAGGAGCUUGCGGCAGAUUAGCUAGUUGGUAAGGUAAUGGCUUACCAAGGCUACGAUCUGUAACCGGUCUAAGAGGACGGUCGGUCACACUGACACUGAAUAACGGGUCAGGCUCCUACGGGAGGCAGCAGUCGGGAAUUUUGGGCAAUGGGCGAAAGCCUGACCCAGCAACGCCGCGUGAAGGAUGAAGUAUUUCGGUAUGUAAACUUCGAAAGAAUAGGAAGAAUUAAUGACGGUACUAUUUAUAAGGUCCGGCUAACUACGUGCCAGCCGCCGCCGUAAAAC